UGCACCUGCUAUCAUUUCCUUUUAUCAUCUAGCUCCCAUUCCUGUAUUUCCCCAAACACCAAAAACACAUUGCUGCUGGACAUGUUUUUUAAAAAGCAUUUUUAAAGGUUUAGCAAUAGCAGAAGAUUAUUGCCAAAAGAAAGCAGAAAAACAAGUUAAAAACAAAUAGUAGGUGUCAAUGUUGCACAAAUUUGCUAACCUGCACUGACCUAGUGUAUACAUCCAACCAACUAGUUAACCAGUUGGGCCUCAGUUCAGCAACUGAUAGGCGCAGCUGUAGCCGCUGAUGAAGGGAGGAGUGAGUUGUGAUAGAAGCCAGAUUCUCCUUCCUGGAGGAGGCGCAAGAAAUGCCAUCAGCUCCUUCGGACACUGCCGGCACUGUUUACCUAACUCCCACAACUCAGCAGGGGUAUAAGCACAAUAAAAGGGUGAGCCCACAGUGGUGGAGGAGCCUUCUCCCUGUCAGCAUCAGACGGAACGGGAGUCUCCGGCCAGGAGGACAGGCUCAAGGUCGAGCUGACAGCUGUUUCCAACUCCUGCUUCAGGCUGUUUGUCUGAGCCUCCAAGUGCCCUGUUUGCACCUGAAGGUCCCCCACCCCCAGGUCUUGCUCCAAGCUGUGCACUUGGGGCCCCAGGCGUGGGCUUGUGCCGGAAGGUCCCUUAUCUGUGGGACUGGGCAUGUACUUCCCUCAGUGCAGUCAGAAACGCCCAUCUGACUCUGCCAUCGAAGGUGCGUUCCUUCUUGGUGCUGUGUGCUUCCAGCUGCUUUAGUGCUUUCUCCACACUCGGGGAAGACCUAUCCACUGCCUUCCUCAUUUCUACUGGGGCUCAUCCAAGCAGCACCUCCGCCACCGGGUACCACAGCCCCCGCUAGUGCCUCAUAGCCGACCCAGGAGUCCUCAGGGACUAAACACCCACUCACCUCAUCCUGCUGAAGACUCUAAAUGUCAGGUCCACGACUACGCCAAAUGUCACGCGGGGGACUGUAGGCAGGUGAAUAUGGUUUUAUUCAGCAAUAGCUCUCAUUAACAGGUUUCUCACACUAGCUCUUUACACUAUCCAGCCUGCCUCGGAUGCUUGAGCUCGUGGCUCCCACAUACAGCUGUGCUUCUGGCUGUCCCCUGCCUUUAGGGUCAGCAGCUUAACUCUUUCUGUCUCUGGGCACUAGUGGGCCAAGCUGUGUCCUGGCUCCCUCCUGUCCAUCUCAAGACAGACAGCUCUGACUCUCUCUUUGUCUGGGUGCAAGUGUGCCUAUCAUGUCAAGCCAUGUUGCACUGAGCCAAACCCCAAGAGCCCCUGUAGAGCGUUAACAGGGCAAUUAUACCUUUUACAGACAAUAGUGGCUCAGAGCCAAGUAUGAACUUACACAAACAGGUUAUAUAACAAGUGGAGGUGUGCGCUUGAGCACCAAACUCACCGAGUCAUGCAGGCUUGGAUAUUCACCUCGGCCUAUUCGUUGACCAAAGCACAUUCAUGUACCUACAACCUUCUUCACAGGGCAGCAGGACAGAGUGAGUGCAAGCAGUUGAAAUGUCAGAUGCUU
rnacentral:lncRNA from 1 species